rnacentral:sRNA from 1 species
GUAUCCGGGUCGCUACUUUCCCUAUUGUCUGAGGCAGCCGGCCUCGCGCUGUGCAAUUUCUGGUCUUUUGUUGCUUCUGGUCCAGGCUAAUAAAGUUUUUCUUUCUUUAAUUUUUUUUCUUCUAGUUUUAACGGGAGAAAUUAACUCCCCAGGGCCGCCGAGUUGACUGCGCUGCCUGGGCCGGAGGUCUUCUCCGGCCAGGGAGCGCUGUGGGAAAGGGCUCGAGCGGCCAGGGCCAGGCGAGGCCGGGGGGGCGGGGGGUUAGGGGACCGCGGGGCUACUCUUGGGAGCGCCCCUGUCCGGCUGGCUGCGCGCCGGUUUUAAAUAGCAUCUUUCGGACUUGUCUUCGCGGCCCCAGUCCCCGACCUCGGCGCUGCUUGGGCUCCUGCAGCCUCUCCCUAAGUGUCCUCCAAACGACCACCUCACGGAUUCCUUAUGGAUCGCAGCUCCAAGAGGAGGCAGGUGAAGCCUUUGGCAGCUUCUCUGCUGGAAGCUCUUGAUUAUGAUAGUUCAGAUGACAGUGAUUUUAAAGUUGGAGAUGCCUCAGGACUCGCUGAUUCUUGAGAAGAGUCAAAACUGGAGCUCUCAAAAAAUGGACCAUAUUCUGAUUUGCUGUGUUUGUCUGGGAGAUAAUAGUGAGGAUGCUGAUGAAAUAAUUCAGUGUGACAAUUGUGGCAUUACAGUCCAUGAAGGUUGUUAUGGAGUCGAUGGAGAGAGUGACUCUAUUAUGAGUUCAGCUUCUGAAAACUCCACCGAACCUUGGUUUUGUGAUGCCUGUAAAUGUGGUGUUUCUCCUAGCUGUGAACUGUGUCCUAAUCAGGAUGGAAUUUUCAAGGAGACAGAUGCUGGAAGAUGGGUUCAUAUUGUUUGUGCCCUGUAUGUUCCUGGAGUAGCCUUUGGAGAUAUUGACAAAUUACGACCAGUAACACUAACGGAAAUGAACUAUUCCAAAUAUGGUGCCAAGGAGUGUAGCUUUUGUGAAGACCCUCGCUUUGCUAGAACUGGGGUUUGCAUUAGCUGUGAUGCAGGGAUGUGCAGAGCCUA